CCCCCCUCAAUGAAUGGUAUUGAAGGAAACCCUUAGAGCUCUCUCCUUUCUUGGACGAACAAAAUGUCAAGAUUAUCAAGAACUCUGCUUUAUCUUGUGCCAGCAAUCAUACUACUAUCAGGGUCAUUUCCAGGAGAAUCAGCAAUAGGAGUCAACUGGGGGACAAUCUCAUUUCACAGGUUGAAGCCUUCAACUGUGGUGGAUCUGUUGAAAGACAACAAGAUAAAGAAAGUGAAGUUGUUUGAUGCAGACCCAGGGGCGCUUACUGCUUUAAUGGGGAGUGGGAUUGAAGUCAUGGUUGGGGUUCCUAAUGAGAUGUUGGCUGCUAUUAGCUCUUCAACUGAUGCUUCUGAUUUGUGGGUUAGGCAAAAUGUGUCUAGAUAUGUUGUUAAAGGUGGUGCUGAUAUAAGGUACGUUGCUGUAGGAAAUGAACCAUUCCUCACAAGUUAUUCAGGUCAAUUUCAAUCUUUCGUUGUCCCUGCUCUGCUCAAUCUACAACAGUCUCUGGUGAAAGCAAAUCUAGCUAGUUAUGUAAAGCUAGUAGUUCCUUGCAAUGCUGAUGCUUAUGAGUCUUCUCUUCCUUCUCAAGGGGCAUUCCGACCUGAACUAACUCAGAUUAUGACUCAACUUGUGUCCUUCCUCAACUCAAACGGCUCACCUUUUGUUGUGAAUAUCUACCCAUUUCUUAGCUUGUAUGGGAACUCAGAUUUUCCACAAGAUUAUGCGUUCUUUGAGGGGAGUACCCAUCCUGUUACAGAUGGGUCUAAUGUUUACUACAAUGCUUUUGAUGGGAAUUUCGACACUUUAGUUGCAGCGCUCAACAAACUUGGAUAUGGUCAAAUGCCCAUUGUUAUUGGCGAGGUGGGUUGGCCAACUGAUGGAGCCAUUGGCGCAAACCUCACUGCAGCAAGGGUUUUCAACCAGGGACUUAUAAAACAUGUAUUGAGUAACAAAGGAACCCCUCUGAGACCAGAUGCCCCUCCCAUGGAUAUUUAUCUUUUCGCUUUGCUUGAUGAAGGAGCAAAGAGUGUACUCCCAGGAAACUUUGAACGACACUGGGGGAUUUUCUCGUUUGAUGGCCAGGCUAAAUAUGCACUGAACCUUGGUUUGGGUAACAAGUUACUGCAGAAUGCAAAGAAUGUCGAGUAUCUCCCAUCAAGGUGGUGUGUGGCAGACCCCUCAAAAGAUCUAACAAAUGUAGCCAACCACCUGAAAAUAGCCUGCAGUGCUGCCGAUUGCACAACACUUAAUUAUGGCGGAUCUUGCAAUGAAAUUGGGGCAAAAGGAAACAUCUCAUAUGCAUUCAACAGUUACUAUCAGCUCCAGAUGCAAAAUGCACAAAGCUGUGAUUUCGAUGGACUUGGUAUGGUGACAUUCCUAGACCCAUCAGUUGGUGAUUGCAGGUUCCCUGUUGGAGUGAAUGAUCAUAAGAGUUCAUUAGCUUUCAGAUCAUGUCAUGGGUGGACCACCAUUUGGACUUCUAUCCUAGGGGGGGUGUGGUUCUUUCUAAUGUUAUGAGAAGUUUCUUUGCAUGGGUUUUUCUCACCCCCCUGUUCAAGAACUAUAAGCAUCAUUGCACAUAGACAAGAGAAUACAGUUAUUUAGGCAUGUCAAGUUUAGUAGAAAUUCCCAUUGCAUCGGGGCUUUUGCAGCAUGUUUGUCUGCAGCAGCAGCGCCAACCUUCAAAUAAUCAUGAAUGAUGCUUACCUCGUGAGUACAACAAGAUCAAAAGUAAACAGAAUCAACAAUAUACCAUGAGCAGGCAUAAGAUAUUUAGUUUACCUCUAGGAUAAUACACUGCAAAGGUAAAUCCUUUUAUUACAGGAUAGGAUAAUACACUGCAAAGGUAAAUCCUUUUAUUACAGGAUACUGAUAAAAUUACAAAUGCCGGAGCCCUCUCGUUUAUAAUAGGAAGAAGAAUAUUGAAGAACUUCUGCAGCUUGCAGAAUGAUGCUCCAA